rnacentral:rRNA from 1 species
UACGAAGGGUGCAAGCGUUAUUCGGAAUAAUUGGGCGUAAAGGGUGCGCAGGCGGUUUGUUAAGUCAACUGUUAAAUCUCCCGGCUUAACCGGGAUCCAGCAGUAGAUACUGGCAAACUAGAGGGUGGAAGAGAGAAGUGGAAUUCUCGGAGUAGCGGUAAAAUGCGUAGAUCUCGAGAGGAACACCGAUGGCGAAGGCAGCUUCUUGGUCCACAUCUGACGCUCAUGCACGAAAGCGUGGGGAGCAAACAGG